rnacentral:misc_RNA from 1 species
GCAGCUUUAGGCUUCUCUUUGGCCAUACUGUACACACCGCUUGAAUAACUGGUGUAGAUAUAAAUAGAAAGUACUAUACGAAAAUACUAUUUUGUAGAAGACGAUCGUUCUGGACGAUUUCGUUCAUUUUGAAUGAAAUUAGGCAUUUAAUUAUAAUUAAGUGAACAAAUUAAGCUCGUGUUUUUUAUAAUUUUUUGAAAAUGACAACACUCAGGCCUUUCACUUGCAACGACUUGUUUAAGUUCAACAAUGUGAAUCUUGACCCGCUCACAGAAACAUAUGGACUUUCAUUUUAUAUGCAUUACCUCUCACACUGGCCAGAAUAUAUUCAAGUGGCAGAAUCUCCAAGCGGUGAAAUUAUGGGUUACAUCAUGGGGAAAGCUGAAGGUCAUGGAGAGAAUUGGCAUGGUCAUGUAACAGCUCUCACAGUUUCCCCUGAUUAUAGGAGAUUGGGUCUCGCUGCAAUGUUAAUGAAAUAUCUUGAGGAUGUAUCAGAAAAGAAACAAGCAUAUUUUGUGGAUCUCUUUGUUAGAGUGAGCAACAAGGUGGCUAUUACAAUGUAUCAACAGUUGGGAUACAUUGUAUAUAGAACAGUAUUGGAAUAUUACAAUGGGGAUCCAGACGAAGAUGCAUAUGAUAUGAGGAAAGCCUUGUCGAAAGAUGUAAAAAAGAAAUCUAUGAUUCCAUUAACACAUCCUGUGAGACCAGAGGAGGUAGACUGAAAGUGUUGAAAUUCACUUAACAAUGACAAAAAGAAGAGUGAAUUAGACACAAAUUACUUGUACAAAUUAUCAUGAAAUCAAUGAUGACGAGAUCGCAAAGACGUCUGAGAUUUUUCACGAAACAUUUUCCGGACAUCUUGCGGAGAUUCUUCGAAAAUUGAAUCCG